rnacentral:tRNA from 2 species
GCGGAUGUGGCGGAAUUGGUAGACGCACUGGAUUUAGGUUCCAGCGCCGAAAGGUGUGAGAGUUCGAGUCUCUCCGUCCGCACCA